CUGCCUGCUAAAGGUACAACUAUGCAACGUCCCUACAACUGCUGGGCUUGGAUGACGGCCCUGAGCCCAGUGAUAGCAAUCCUAUCGUGAUGAGAGGGGCAUACAUGUCCUUUCUGUAUCUGCGCCACCUUUGAAUCCAAGAACUGCAGAGAACCUGGUCCCCACCAUGGAAGAUAGUUCCUGGGUAAAUAUGGCAAAAGGAGGUCUGGUCACAUCACAGGGCCUGGGCGCUCACCACUACGUCCAUGAGACGCCCACCGAGCACAAGGUCCACAGCGUCCAAUUCAUGGAGUUCUCGGAAGUGGAGAACCAGGGUGACUCCUACAGCACGAAAGCCAGCUGUAUCCACACCCAGGACCAGCAAGGGGUGCAUGUCAUGUAUGAGGAAGCCCUAAGCGAUCUGAAGGGACUAGAGGCGGUGUUCCUGCUUGUGGCCAGCCAUUACACUGAGAAAGAAAAAUGUCACAAAGUGGGCACCCAGCCAAAGAGUGGUCAGGACUGGGCAUGGGCCCAUGCAGGUGUGGACAGGUUUGCUGUGCUGUAUGACAUGUGGACUCAGGAAGCAGCUUUUCUGGAAAACAAAUGCCAGAGUUUUGACAGUUACUUUGAAGCCUACCAGCACAUGUUGGACGCUGAAGAGAGGUUCGCCUUAGCACAAGUGAUGAUGGAUAUCACGCACCGGUGCCCGAGGUAG
rnacentral:lncRNA from 1 species